UAUUAAAAAUUUUAUCUAUUUUGUACUAUUAAAAACUAACGUGACUGAUAAAAUAACUAAGUAGUGGCGUGCCACAUGUACCUUAUGUUGACAUAUAGGAACUAAUUUUUAAUAAUAGAAAUGGAUGAAUUUUUUAAUA
rnacentral:pre_miRNA from 1 species